AAAGGGUAGAGCUGAGUACAUCCCGGCUGCUCUUUCACGAUAUGAGACGAACCUUUCAAUAAAUACUACAGGUUGGACAGAGGAAGCGUUCGUGAUUCCAAUGAAAAGAACAGCUGCAUACAUGGAUCCCAUAGCAUUUAAUAUGUCCUGCUGAGUACUCCUCUUAGAACCAAACUUCCAGCAUAUACUUCCAAACAUCAAUGAGAUUAUGACCGUGUAGAAGAAGCGCACAGCAGUAUACUGUGGAUUUCUCCAGUAGGACAGGUUUUGCUUCCAUAAACAUGCAAGAAACUGUCCGAAAAAGGACUGAGAGUACUUGCUUGAGAAAUAUAGCUCAGCUGAACCUUCUUGUGGUUUGCUUAAACUUUCAACCAUUUCCUCAUUUUGCUGGAACAAAGCUGAUUUUCGAUAAAUGUCAGCAAAAUCUACACCGAGGCGAUUUUCUUCUGCUGAAGAAGUAACUUCAAGAACCCAAGCAGCAGGGUUCUGUCCAGACCUAAUUCUGUGAACUCCUUGAAUUUCCUCAAAAUACUGAAUAAGCUUGCAUGAUCUGUUCCCUAGUGAACCAGCAUAAAUGAGCUGUCCACCUCUUUUCAUGAGCAAAAGCUCGUCAAAUGAUUCGAAGAUAUCUAUACUAGGCUGAUGGAUGGUGCAGACAAUUGUUCUUCCAGUGUCGACAAUGUUUCUCACUGUUCUCAUUACAAUGGCUGCAGACCGGGCAUCUAGUCCUGAAGUAGGUUCAUCCAUAAAAACUAUUGAAGGAUUGGCUACAAGCUCAACCGCAAUCGUCAACCUUUUCCUUUGCUCUGUUGACAAUCCAUCUACUCCGGGUAGGCCAACUAAAGCUCCACGUAAUGAAGUUAGUUCCACUAGCUCCAUAACCUCUUCAACAAAAGCCUUUUGUGUUUUCACGUCAACCUGAGAAGAUAGCCGGAGCCAAGCAGAAAACAGUAGUGACUCAUGGAUAGUUAAGCAAGGGGAAUGAACAUCGUUCUGUUCACAAUAUCCGGAUACUCUUGCAAAAGUUUCUUGCUUCUUUGGG
rnacentral:misc_RNA from 1 species